UUGCAUUUGGACAUGUGUGUAAUUUAAUGAGGAAAAACUAAAGAUUUCUUGUUUUUCUUAAUAAAGUUAUGAGGAGCAUAUUCUCUCAAACAUCAGAGUUUGAUCACUUGAUUGUAGUUGCUUCACUUAUGGAUUUAUUCUAGUUGUUCAAAAGCAAAUAUAUUAACUAUUCAUUUCAGAUUUCCCUGGAAGUUCAAUUUGAUUUCCAUGAUUACUGUGAAAUCAAGUGAUAUCUCAUCCUAGCAUUUAAAACUUAUGUUAGGUUUAUGAAAUUUCCCUUUCUUAUGAUGUUAUGUACCCUGGAUAAUGUUUCUGAUCAUCCUAUUUUAUUUGCUCGACCACUUAGACAUGUAUUUAAAUUGUCCGCAUGAGCUGUUUAGAUGCAUGUGCUUAAAUCACCAGUCACUAUCUGGUGGUGAUAUAAUCAACACCUUGAUUGCGGAUUCACAAAACUAAUUAUAUUACUAUCUAUAUACAGGAAGAUAGUGAGAAACCUGGCAAGGUGACCUCUGCAUGCAUUUGCUUAAAUCACCAGUCACUAUCCGGUGGUGUUAUAAUCAACACCUUGAUUGCGGAUUCACAAAACUAAUUAUAUUACUAUCUAUAUACAGG
rnacentral:lncRNA from 1 species